rnacentral:rRNA from 1 species
GACGAACGCUGGCGGCGUGCUUAACACAUGCAAGUCGAGCGGUAAGGCCCCUUCGGGGGUACACGAGCGGCGAACGGGUGAGUAACACGUGAGCAAUCUGCCCAUCACAUCGGGAUAACUCCGGGAAACCGAAGCUAAUACCGAAUACGACCACCUCCGGCAUCGGAUGGUGGUGGAAAGUUCCGGCGGUGAUGGAUGAGCUCGCGGCCUAUCAGCUUGUUGGUGGGGUAACGGCCCACCAAGGCUUCGACGGGUAGCCGGCCUGAGAGGGUGACCGGCCACACUGGGACUGAGACACGGCCCAGACUCCUACGGGAGGCAGCAGAGGGGAAUAUUGGACAAUGGGCGAAAGCCUGAUCCAGCAACGCCGCGUGAGGGAUGACGGCCUUCGGGUUGUAAACCUCUUUCAGCAGGGACGAAGCGCAAGUGACGGUACCUGCAGAAGAAGCACCGGCCAACUACGUG